UCUCGUUUUCUUUCUUUCGGGUGGGUUUUUUCUUUUUCUUUUUUCCCCUCGGGGGAGAGCGGUCGGAGUUCCGGAUGGGUGCUUGAAAAUUGAGGUCGCGGUGAUGUGUGGUGUGGUGGACCUCGGAAACAUGGUUGUGAGGGCAAUAUGGAACUUGUAGUUAGUUACUCGACCACGACAACGACGACGAGAGGAAGAAGGGGAAGAAGAUGACGAUUUACAUUGGUCGCGAGGCUUCGAAGCUAUGGAAGAGAAUUUCCGCGGAGAUAACCACAGAGAUCAACCUCCUCGCAGAGAACUGGAGAUACAUUCUUGCCGGUCUCAUUUUUCAGUACAUACAUGGUCUGGCAGCUCGUGGAGUACAUUAUUUACAUAGGCCUGGUCCCACACUUCAGGAUGUUGGAUUCCUUCUGCUUCCGGAGCUUGGCCAGGACAAAGCUUACAUCAGCGAGACUGUAUUCACUUUCGUCUUCAUAUCUUUCGUAUUGUGGACCUUCCAUCCUUUCAUUCUGAAGACCAAAAAAAUCUACACUGUUCUUGUCUGGUGCAGGGUCUUAGCUUUUCUUGUUGCUUGUCAAAUUCUUCGGAUCAUCACAUUUUACUCUACACAGCUUCCAGGUCCAAACUACCACUGCCGUGAGGGAUCGAAACUUGCCAGAUUACCUCGUCCGCAUAGUGUAGCAGAAGUUCUUCUAAUCAACUUUCCUCGGGGAGUGAUAUAUGGUUGUGGUGAUCUGAUAUUCUCAUCUCACAUGAUAUUUACCUUGGUCUUUGUGCUCACGUACCAGAAAUAUGGCACAAAGAGGUUUAUAAAGCAGUUUGCUUGGUUGAUUGCUGCGGUACAGAGCUUCUUGAUUGUUGCAUCGCGAAAACAUUACACAGUUGAUGUCGUUGUUGCAUGGUAUACUGUCAAUUUGGUGGUAUUCUUCAUUGACAAGACAUUUCCAGAACUUCCUGACCGGACUGGUGGCUCAUCACUGUUCCUACCAGUGAGCACCAAAGAUAAAGAUGCUAGAAGCAAAGAAGAGAAUCACAAGCUCUUGAAUGGGCAUGGCGGAGACCCUGCUGAUUGGAGACCGAGAACACAAGUCAAUGGCAAGAUUAUGGAAGAUGGCAAUGCUGUCCUUGCUGAUAAUGCAAUGAACGGCGCGUAGAUGAUAGGAAACUGCCACUGGAGCCGACUUGAAGAACUCCAGCGCCUGGAGGUGAUGAAAAUCAAUCCCUAAGACGUGCAGUUGACACUGCAGCAUGGUCGGCUCUUAUUUUGAAGAUGGGUAAACAUGAUUUUUAUUGUAGUGAAGGUGGAAUUCGGCUUAAGUUUUUAUGUUUUGGCCAUCGUGCUCUACCAUGCAUGGUUUAAGACCAUGGCAUGCACAUUGGGAAUUUUCAGCAAUCUUAUAUCCAUUUCUCAAUCCGGCGAAAGCUGUCUUGGUUUUUUUUCCUUCCA